UCCAAGAAGCGCUACCACGUGACCAGUCUUAGUCCAAUCUGAACUGUGGGAUGCUGCUUCCAUGGACUGUUGCCUGAGUGGAUGUGAGAAUGUGGCCCCACCCCCUUCGACUAUCGGGAAAGUGAUAUUAUUGGAGUACAAGUGUUAAGGUUACAUAUGUUGCCAUGAGACACCCUUCCUAACAUCUCGAGCCAGUGGUCUGGAGGGGCAGUGUCCUUUGUUCUUUGUGCUACAGGAGAUGGCUCAACACCACUGUCUGCGUGGAGGUUCUGGGAUUGUCUUCAGCAGAGAUGGGACUGACAUGAGAUGAUCAGAAUCAUCGACUGUAGUUGAACAGAAAUGGUCUGAAACUGAAAACCUCCCUGUGAAAGCUCUGCAUUUCUGCCUAUUAUUAGGAUGAUGGCAUUUUAAACAGGAGUCUCCAUCCUCC